rnacentral:rRNA from 1 species
UACGAAGGGGGCUAGCGUUGUUCGGAAUUACUGGGCGUAAAGCGCACGUAGGCGGGUUGUUAAGUCAGGGGGGAAAUCCUGGAGCUCAACUCCAGAACUGCCUUUGAUACUGGCAACCUAGAGACUGGAAGAGGUUAGUGGAAUUCCCAGUGUAGAGGUGAAAUUCGUAGAUAUUGGGAAGAACACCAGUGGCGAAGGCGGCUAACUGGUCCAGCACUGACGCUGAGGUGCGAAAGCGUGGGGAGCAAACAGG